AAGUCCGGGUUUAAAAAUGAGAUAGGAAAAAUGAGUGAGUCCAUUGUACAUGUUGGAGGCAAGAAUGAUAAUGUGAGUUUUCACUUUAAGAUAGGGUUAUAGUCAUGAAGGAUAGAAAGAACGCUAAAGGUAAUUCUCAGUCAAAAGGUUUAUGUCUUUUGGAAGAUACGUAGGGAUUUGAGUUAGGCGUAGUUGUCUGAGAUAAAGAGGACAUUCUAAAACUUUGAAGAAACUGCCUUUGCUAAGAUUUCCUAAUGUAAUUCUUGUUGUUUGUUUCAAGUGUUUUAUUUAUUUCCCUUUGAUUUUUAGGAUGGUUCCAUGUUGAAGAAGACAGAAAUACAAAUGUAUAUGUGUCAGGUAUUUAUCCUGUUGCAGUGCAGUUUUCACGUUGGUAUCCUUUAGUGUUGAAACUGCGCUAAGUGAGUUUUAGUUUCGGUGUGUUUUGUUCACCUGCUUAUGCUAGCUGGAAUUUAAUGAGGAGGGAUUGAAGAAAAGUUAUGCAGUGUUCCAUGCUGUUUUGUAUGCCUGCCUUAGAGAAUUCACAGCAAUUUGUUCCUUUACAUUUAGUGAAACAUACGCAUAGCAUAACUGAUAUUUUUAAUAUAUAAAAUGUGAAUCCUCUUCACAUUUAUAGAUAGGAAGUUGUUGUACUCAUUUACCCAAAUUAGCCUUGUAUUCACAUAAGUUUCAGGUUUCUCAUUGGUAAAUGCUAAAGUCUUUUACUGUCAUUAAACACUUUAAAAUUGUUCUCUGAAAGUACAGGUCUCCCUCCAGACAUCACAGUGGAUGAAUUUAUACAGCUUAUGUCCAAAUUUGGUAUUAUUAUGAGGGAUCCUCAGACUGAAGAAUUUAAGGUCAAACUUUACAAAGAUGAUCAAGGAAAUCUUAAAGGAGAUGGACUUUGCUGUUAUCUAAAGAAAGAAUCUGUGGAACUUGCAUUAAAACUUUUGGAUGAAGAUGAAAUUAG
rnacentral:lncRNA from 1 species